CGCGGGGAGGCACGCUAGCAGGCGGCCGGCGUGAGGCGGGAGCGGACGGGCCGACGUUUAUAGUCACCUGUCCACGGCCGGCCCCCGCUUGGCACACCUGGCGCGGCUCAUCCCAAUGCACCUCACCUGCGGCCACUCGGUUUCCUGUUGCUCCUCCGCCUCGCAAGCCAUUCAGGAAAAGUGAGAAGCCAAGCUGGAAGGAAAACUGCGCAAGAUAAGAAGGCCAGAUAAAAAGGAAGGAAGGCCAAGGAAGACAUGGAGAAAGGUGGUAGAGGAAGAUAUGAGGAGGCUGAACAUCACGGAAGAAAUGGCUAUGGACCGGCAACAGUGGAAGAGGCUCAUAUCCCGUCCAACCCCUCCAUAGGGAAUAAAUGGACGUUAAACGAUAAUGAUGAUGAUGAUAAGAAUUGGUUGAGUUGAUCUUCAGCUGUAUCAUGACGUGGCAGCAGGCAGAUAGCAGAUACAUGUAGGUGGCUUUUGUAUGCUGGUUGGUAAAUGGGGUAGAGUAGUCUGUGGCAGUGUUCUCAACCAUUAUUGCUGUCAUCUACCCUUAUUCUAGAUACUGGAAAAGUUGUUCACAGUAGAUGCUCACCAGUUUCCUUUGAUAAAAUCUAAACUUGCUGAUCUGUUUAAGAGAAAAGAUAAAGUUAAUAUCUUUUUCUUUAGCUUAUCAUGCAAAGUACAAUAAGUUAAGUAAAAGUGAAGGCAAAGUUGGGGGCAUACACUACUAAUCUGCACAGGUCCUCGGUGCUAAUCUCCAUUUCGCUGGGGGGGCUUCGUGGUGCAGUGGUUAGCACACUCGGGUCACAGCCAAGUGACCCUGGGAUAGAUUCCCAGGCAGAGUGGAAAAAUUUGGGCAGCUUUUCCAAUACCCUACGCCCCUGUCCACCCAGCAGUGAAUGGGUACCAGGAAUUAAUCGGAGGUUGUGUCCCGUCUCCUGGAAUCUGUUCCCUUCUCCUAUAAUUCCUUCCCCUUCUGUCUCUCUCCGGCAUAGGACCACAGAUGUUGCACCGACUAAACGAAACUUUCCAUUUCGCUGAUCUAUGAGCCAGUGGUGUGCAAGAACACAUUACACCAGAACACAGGGCUAUUGUGUGACCUCUGCAUUACCACAGUCUACAUUCCAAGGGUACCCAAUUAUUGACCAGCCCAAAAGGGAGAUUUAAACAGUUGGGUGAGGUGGAUGCCUACUGCUUCAGUCUGGGAUUCAGCCCAUGCCUGGAAAUUUGUAGCUAGGUGCACUAACCUUCAUCCCAAGAGGUGCAUGUACUGCUUUCCAUUAAAUCUCUCCCAACACACAGCAGCUGUCCACCCAAUUUGAAUAGUACUGGGGUAGAUUUGUAAAGAACAAGGAGAAAUUUGAAUUCAAAGAGCAGUAUUUAGUUCCUUUAUUUCAACAAAUUUACAAAACAUAUCUUAAGGACUAAUGAGCAAUAUAAAACUAUACAUCUUCACAAUUUAAAUCAGUUUAGUAUACAGUAUUUAGGCUCUUUACAUAAACAAUGCUACAAAUGAUUUUCAGCAAAGGGAUAUAAAAGUCUAUAGGUUUUGUUGGUAAGAGAACCGGGUAG